UGUCGGCUCGGCCAGUCAGGCCACCCGCAAUGCAAUGGCGAUGCUGGUGGCCGACAACAUCAAGAGCUGGUUCGAAACCGGCGCCGCCAUC
rnacentral:tRNA from 1 species